UUGUCGAUUUAUGUGAGUUGUGUGGUAGAUUGUGUGGGAACUUGUGCAAUGCUUUCGAGCUAGCGCACAUAUCAAAUAUUGCUUGUUAGGAUUUCAUGCUAGAUUUUAAUCUUAAGAAUUAAUAAGAAUGAUAUCGAAUCUAUUGCAUGCAUAAUCGAAAAUGAAAGAUUCUCGAACAUGUUUACUUGAUGUUUCAAUGAUUCUAUUUCAUCUCGACUGAUUAUUCUAGAUUUUUAAUCUUAGGAAUUGCUAAGAAUGAUAUUGAAUCUAUUGCAUGCAUACUCGAAAAUGAAAGAUUUUCGAACAUGUUUACUUGAUACUUCAUUGAUUCUAUUACUCGAAAAUGAAAGAUUUUCGAACAUGUUUCUCUCUCUCUCUCUCUCUCUCUCUCUCUCUUCCCUCUCAACGGAAUCGGCGAUUCACACCUCAAAUCCUAAUCAAUCGAUUCACCUUGAAUCAAUUGAUUUUUCUGGCUUAAACUCGAGAGUUCUUGGUUUCUGACACCGAUUUUUGUUUGGAUUAGCUUCCAGUCGAUCGAUAUUCCUCUGGAUCUUCAAGUGCGAUAACGACGGCAGAUGGUGACUGUGAUGGCUUUAAGGGAACGGCGAGGUCCACGGGCGAGCAAUUCAGAAAAAGGAGCAAUUAAAAUCGGUGAGAGAGGAGAUCCAUGUUUCAUCGUUGUUCAAUCACCCUAAUUUGCUUCCACUUCUUGAUCAUGCCAUUAGCUCUGUUAAAGUAGGACGGCCCAGAGGGAGCUUGGAAACAUGGUAACGUGCUAUUAACGCGUAGAAAAGGACAGCCUCCUCUUGCUGAUCUUUGGGAGUGCUCGCCCAUCAUGAAAAUCUACAGGGAAAGAUACAAACGGUUUCCAUACUGUUCCCAACAUAAAGCUUCUAGACUUGUAUGAAUUUGAAACCUUUUAGGACGCUGAAGAAUGCCACCAAAGUUGCCUCCACAGUUGUUCUUGCUUGGCUUUUGCUUAUAUCAAUGGAAUAGGUUGCUUAAUGUGGAACCAAAUCCUUCGCUAAGUUUUCUAAGGCCAGAAUCAAAGAAAGGGUGGGCUGAAUUUUUUUAUUUUAUUUUGGAGUUUUGUUUAUGGAACAACGGAAAAAAACAAAAAUGCACACACUCUCUACUCGAACGGCUGUAUGUGGCUCAUGAAUAACUCUGUUUCUACCACUAGACCAAAGAAACAAUUUAGAGAAAUAGACAGAAUUUUGCUUAUAAUAUAUAGGGCCGCAGGCUGAUGCUUCAUUGAAUUGGUCCAUCGGCCGGCUCUGUGUGGAACCAAGACCUAAUAGACACUGUGCAGUUAUCUCCAGGAGGAGAAAUUAUUUCCAUUCGUCUUGCACGUUCUCAAAUGGAAAUGAGCGUAACAAGAUUACUACUGCUAGUAUUGUGAGCCUUUCUCUUUUCGUGAUAAUGGCUUCUGCUAUGUUUGGUUUCUGGAGAUACAGAGUAAAACAUAAUGCUAAUAGAUCAAAGGAUGCUGCUUCCCAAGAUACAUGGAAGAAUGAGCUGAACCCACAAGAUGUCCCAGGUUUAAAUUUCUUUGAGAUAAAGACCAUUCAAACGACCACCAAUAAUUUCAGUCUCACAAAUAAACUUGAAAAGGUGGAUUUGGCCCAGCUUAUAAGGGAAAGCUUCAAGAUGGGAAAUAAAUUGCUGUAAAAAGGCUUUAUAGCAGCUCGUGACAGGGGAAAGAAGAGUUCAUGAAAACAAUAGUACUCAUCUCAAAACUUCAACAUAAAAACUUAUUUCGGAUUUUGGAUGUUGCAUUCAAGGAGAAGAGAAGUUAUUAAUUACGAGUUCAUGUUUAACAAAAGCCUUGAUACUUUUCUCUUCGAAAAAAGCUUGAAAUUGAUUGGCCAAAGAGAUUUGAUAUCAUUCAAGGUAUUGCCUGUGGAAUUCACUAUCUCCAUCGUGACUCACGCCUCAAGGUAAUUCACCAAGAUCUGAAGGUUAGCAACAUUCUUCUAGAUGAGAAGAUGAAUCCAAAGAUAUCAUACUUUGAAUUGGUUCGGAUGUAUAAGGGAACUGAAUAUCAGGAAAAUACUUGCAAGGUUGUAACAACUCUGUAAGAACCAU